GUGUGUUUUUUUCAAAUGUUUUGUCCAUUGUUAUCUGGUGCAUUGAUCCAUUGGGUGAGCGCGUUUUGACUUUGAAUCCUGGCCAUGUGAUCAUCUCACUAGACUUAAGUAAUCAGAUCUAAUAGCUCUUGCUUUUUUACUUGUUUUAAUUUUGUUUUAAUUUCUUUUUUCUUCUAAAAUUAAAUAAAAUAGUUCCCUUAUUAUAUUUUUUUUCAUCCAAUUUUUUUUCCAUAAUUCCAUAAAAAUAUUGUCUACCUCAUGUCAUUUUUUUUUUCAUUUUUAAAAAUCAU
rnacentral:lncRNA from 1 species